rfam:Paenibacillus pectinilyticus strain KCTC13222 scaffold20, whole genome shotgun sequence.
GAAGGCGGGCCCUUCGGAGUCGCUGUGCAGGCGGAGGCUUCAAAUUACCUUAAGCUGCUGCGGUCAAAAGCCGUUGGUGGUGAGCGUUAAGGAAAAGGCAGAGCAAGACUCUGUCAGGU